GGUGGCGUGUCCGAGCGGCCGAAGGUGCAACACUCGAAAUGUUGUGUGCGGUAACCCCGUACCGGGGUUUCAAAUCCCCCCGCCACCG
rnacentral:tRNA from 1 species